GGGGUUGUAGCUCAGGGGUUGACCACUUGCCUUAAAUGCAUGAGGCACUGGGUUUGAUCCUCAGCACCACA
rnacentral:tRNA from 1 species